rnacentral:rRNA from 1 species
AUACGGAGGGGGCUAGCGUUGUUCGGAAUUACUGGGCGUAAAGCGCGCGUAGGCGGUUUUCCAAGUUGGGGGUGAAAUCCCGAGGCUCAACCUCGGAACUGCCCUCAAAACUGGAUGACUAGAGUCCGGGAGAGGUUGGCGGAAUUCCUAGUGUAGAGGUGAAAUUCGUAGAUAUUAGGAAGAACACCAGUGGCGAAGGCGGCCAACUGGACCGGUACUGACGCUAAGGUGCGAAAGCGUGGGGAGCAAACAGGAUUAGAUACCCCGGUAGUCC